GGAUGACCUGUGGAUCGGAGUGAAAGGCUAAUCAAGCUCGGAGAUAGCUGGUUCUCCUCGAAAGCUAUUUAGGUAGCGCCUCAUGUAUCACUGUAGGGGGUAGAGCACUGUUUCGGCUAGGGGGUCAUCCCGACUUACCAAACCGAUGCAAACUCCGAAUACCUACAAGUGCCGAGCAUGGGAGACACACGGCGGGUGCUAACGUCCGUCGUGAAAAGGGAAACAACCCAGACCGUCAGCUAAGGUCCCAAAGUUAUGGUUAAGUGGGAAACGAUGUGGGAAGGCUUAGACAGCUAGGAGGUUGGCUUAGAAGCAGCCACCCUUUAAAGAAAGCGUAAUAGCUCACUAGUCGAGUCGGCCUGCGCGGAAGAUGUAACGGGGCUCAAACCAUACACCGAAGCUACGGGUAUCAUCUUCGGAUGAUGCGGUAGAGGAGCGUUCUGUAAGCCUGUGAAGGUGAGUUGAGAAGCUUGCUGGAGGUAUCAGAAGUGCGAAUGCUGACAUGAGUAACGAUAAUGGGUGUGAAAAACACCCACGCCGAAAGACCAAGGUUUCCUGCGCAACGUUAAUCGACGCAGGGUUAGUCGGUCCCUAAGGCGAGGCUGAAAAGCGUAGUCGAUGGAAAACAGGUUAAUAUUCCUGUACUUCUGGUUAUUGCGAUGGAGGGACGGAGAAGGCUAGGCCAGCUUGGCGUUGGUUGUCCAAGUUUAAGGUGGUAGGCUGGAAUCUUAGGUAAAUCCGGGAUUCUAAGGCCGAGAGCUGAUGACGAGUUAUCUUUUAGAUGACGAAGUGGUUGAUGCCAUGCUUCCAAGAAAAGCUUCUAAGCUUCAGGUAACCAGGAACCGUACCCCAAACCGACACAGGUGGUUGGGUAGAGAAUACCAAGGCGCUUGAGAGAACUCGGGUGAAGGAACUAGGCAAAAUGGCACCGUAACUUCGGGAGAAGGUGCGCCGGUGAGGGUGAAGGACUUGCUCCGUAAGCUCAUGCCGGUCGAAGAUACCAGGCCGCUGCGACUGUUUAUUAAAAACACAGCACUCUGCAAACACGAAAGUGGACGUAUAGGGUGUGACGCCUGCCCGGUGCCGGAAGGUUAAUUGAUGGGGUUAGCUAACGCGAAGCUCUUGAUCGAAGCCCCGGUAAACGGCGGCCGUAACUAUAACGGUCCUAAGGUAGCGAAAUUCCUUGUCGGGUAAGUUCCGACCUGCACGAAUGGCGUAACGAUGGCGGCGCUGUCUCCACCCGAGACUCAGUGAAAUUGAAAUCGCUGUGAAGAUGCAGUGUAUCCGCGGCUAGACGGAAAGACCCCGUGAACCUUUACUAUAGCUUUGCACUGGACUUUGAAUUUGCUUGUGUAGGAUAGGUGGGAGGCUUUGAAGCGUGGACGCCAGUUCGCGUGGAGCCAACCUUGAAAUACCACCCUGGCAACUUUGAGGUUCUAACUCAGGUCCGUUAUCCGGAUCGAGGACAGUGUAUGGUGGGUAGUUUGACUGGGGCGGUCUCCUCCUAAAGAGUAACGGAGGAGUACGAAGGUGCGCUCAGACCGGUCGGAAAUCGGUCGUAGAGUAUAAAGGCAAAAGCGCGCUUGACUGCGAGACAGACACGUCGAGCAGGUACGAAAGUAGGUCUUAGUGAUCCGGUGGUUCUGUAUGGAAGGGCCAUCGCUCAACGGAUAAAAGGUACUCCGGGGAUAACAGGCUGAUACCGCCCAAGAGUUCAUAUCGACGGCGGUGUUUGGCACCUCGAUGUCGGCUCAUCACAUCCUGGGGCUGAAGCCGGUCCCAAGGGUAUGGCUGUUCGCCCAUUAAAGCGGCACGCGAGCUGGGUUUAGAACGUCGUGAGACAGUUCGGUCCCUAUCCGCCGCGCGCGUCAGAAACUUGAGGAAACCUGUCCCUAGUACGAGAGGACCGGGACGGACGAACCUCUGGUGUACCAGUUGUUCCACCAGGAGCACGGCUGGAUAGCUACGUUCGGACAGGAUAACCGCUGAAAGCAUCUAAGCGGGAAACCUAUUCCAAGACCAGGUUUCUUACCCUUUUAGAGGGAUAAGGUCACCCACAGACUAUGGGUUCAAUAGGCCAGACCUGCAAGCGUAGUAAUACGUUCAGGGAACUGGCACUAAUCGACCG
rnacentral:rRNA from 1 species